UUUCGGUGGGGGCUGCUGGGUUUGGGGGCAGGGGAAAUGUAGCAUUUUUCAGUAGUAUUUUUUAUUUUUAAUUUUUUUUUAAGAAAACGUCUUCUGGCUUGUCUGAGAAGAGACUCUGGCAGCCCAGCUGGUGUUUAACUUGUUGCAAAAGUUAGCCAGGAAGGAACUAAGCUGCAGCUCGGAGAACAAAAUGCGGUGGUUGUUUGCAACAGAUCUGCCGCUAGAUUUGGAGGAGGGCUUUUUUCUUAAUUUUUUUUUUUAAGAGCAACAUUUACGACCUGUCACGCCGACUAAAACAUAAAACUCGCUGAAGAUCCAAACCAGAAAGCGGCCGAGACGUCGGAGCAAGCGUGAUGCUUUCCUUAGCAAGGUGGUGACCUCGUUUUGGUGCCUGGCUUAAUCGUUCGGAGGAGUCUGUGUUUUAACAAGAGACAAUUCCUAGGUGAUAAGAGUGGAUGGAAAGAGAAAUGGGAGCAGCUGGCUGCCAGCUCUUUGUUUUUAAGCUUUUGAGAGUUUUAAACCUGGUUUUUUUUGGUGUGGAAGGCUUGUCUGUAGAGGAAUCCAACUGUAAGCUGUUCCCAGAGCCGCUGAGGUCUGAGCUAUAAUAGAUACUGCAGAAGAAGGGGCCGCCGGCUGUAAAAUACCCACGAUCUGAAGCAUAUUUUAAGCUUGGCACUUUCUUGUGCUCCAAACCAAAGCAGAGUCUAACUUAUAUAAAAUAAAGAAAUGACUAAAUAAAAGUUGCUGAGUAAGCAA